rnacentral:lncRNA from 1 species
AUUAACUACUAUAUUAUUUAUAAACAAGAGAAUGAGCAUCUCCAAAAGUACCCAAUAAUCUUUUUCAAUUCAUGAUUCUUGGAAAGAAUGAAAAAAAAAAUCCAUCUCCCAAUCUUUUGGCACUUGGGAGAAAAAACUCCUAUUUGCGUGUAAAGUUCCGCAGACUUCAAGUCAUGCGUAUUUUCUUUUUGAUGUGCAUGGGUCGGCUAAUCUAAAGGUGGAAGGGCGUGAAGAAAACAAAGAGUAGGAAAAAGUUACUGAGGUAAAUUAAA